UACGAAGGGGGCUAGCGUUGCUCGGAAUCACUGGGCGUAAAGCGCACGUAGGCGGAUCGUUAAGUCGGAGGUGAAAUCCUGGAGCUCAACUCCAGAACUGCCUUCGAUACUGGCGAUCUUGGAGUCCGGGAGAGGUGAGUGGAACUCCGAGUGUAGAGGUGAAAUUCGUAGAUAUUCGGAAGAACACCAGUGGCGAAGGCGGCUCACUG
rnacentral:rRNA from 1 species